rnacentral:snRNA from 1 species
CUUGUCAUCCAGCUGUUAUGGUUAAUAAUGGAUAGUUUUCUCUGGGUGAGGCUUAUCCAUUGCACACCUGAUGUGCUGACCCCUGCGAUUUCCCCAAAUGUAGGAAAGUUGCCCGCAUGAUUUGUGGUAAUGGGGGACUGUGUGUUCCUGCUUUUCCCUG